GUGCUUGCUUCAGCAGCACAUAACUAAAAUUGGAACAAUAUAGAGAAGAUUAGCAUGGCCCCUGCACAAGGAUGACACACAAACUCAUAUUUUUUU
rnacentral:snRNA from 1 species